rnacentral:rRNA from 1 species
AACGAACGCUGGCGGCAUGCCUAACACAUGCAAGUCGAACGAGACCUUCGGGUCUAGUGGCGCACGGGUGCGUAACGCGUGGGAACCUGCCCUUAGGUUCGGAAUAACUCCCCGAAAGGGGUGCUAAUACCGGAUAAUGUCUUCGGACCUAAGAUUUAUCGCCUUUGGAUGGGCCCGCGUUGGAUUAGCUAGUUGGUAGGGUAAAAGCCUACCAAGGCGACGAUCCAUAGCUGGUCUGAGAGGAUGAUCAGCCACACUGGGACUGAGACACGGCCCAGACUCCUACGGGAAGCAGCAGUGGGGAAUAUUGGACAAUGGGCGAAAGCCUGAUCCAGCAAUGCCGCGUGAGUGAUGAAGGCCUUAGGGUUGUAAAGCUCUUUUACCCGGGAUGAUAAUGACAGUACCGGGAGAAUAAGCUCCGGCUAACUCCGUG